rnacentral:lncRNA from 1 species
AAAUUUCAAAUAUUAUCCUAUAAUUUCACAAUUUCUCAUUUUAGUACCAUAUACUUUAAAGUAUAUUAUUUCAAUGCUCUAUGAUUUUAUUUUUAUCUUUUCAUCGGCACCUUCAUUAACUCUUCAUUAAAUCAUAUAUAUAGAAAACUUCCGAUACUCCAUCUAUGGUUUAUCGAAUAUUCACUUUAGUACCAUAUAGUUUACCAAAUUUUUAAUUUAGUACCAUGUGAUUUUAACUUCAUCACUAAUUUAACAAAAAAAUUAAUGGAGGAAUAAUGAAAAGAGAAAAAAGAAACCAUAUGGUUCUAAAGUGAUACAUUUUAAACCAUAGAGUAUUAAAGUAAGAAAAUGCGAAACCGCGGAUUGUGGUAUUUGAAGUGUUUCCGUUAUUUAAAGAAAUAAUAUCUAAUAUUCUAAAAUUUUAAAAAUAUCUUAUUUAUUUUUGAAGAA